rnacentral:rRNA from 1 species
GACGAACGCUGGCGGCGUGCUUAACACAUGCAAGUCGAACGGAAAGGCCCUGCUUUUGUGGGGUGCUCGAGUGGCGAACGGGUGAGUAACACGUGAGUAACCUGCCCUUGACUUUGGGAUAACUUCAGGAAACUGGGGCUAAUACCGGAUAGGAGCUCCUGCUGCGUGGUGGGGGUUGGAAAGUUUCGGCGGUUGGGGAUGGACUCGCGGCUUAUCAGCUUGUUGGUGGGGUAGUGGCUUACCAAGGCUUUGACGGGUAGCCGGCCUGAGAGGGUGACCGGCCACAUUGGGACUGAGAUACGGCCCAGACUCCUACGGGAGGCAGCAGUGGGGAAUAUUGCACAAUGGGCGGAAGCCUGAUGCAGCAACGCCGCGUGCGGGAUGACGGCCUUCGGGUUGUAAACCGCUUUCGCCUGUGACGAAGCGUGAGUGACGGUAAUGGGUAAAGAAGCACCGGCUAACUACGUG